rnacentral:rRNA from 1 species
UACGUAGGGUGCGAGCGUUAAUCGGAAUUACUGGGCGUAAAGCGUGCGCAGGCGGUUCUCCAAGUCCGUUGUGAAAGCCCCGGGCUCAACCUGGGAAUGGCAGUGGAAACUAGGGGACUUGAAUCUGGCAGAGGGGGGUGGAAUUCCACGUGUAGCAGUGAAAUGCGUAGAUAUCGUAAGGAAGACCAGUGGCGAAGGCGGGUCUCUGGACAGUUCCUGACGCUGAGGCACGAAGGUCAGGGGAGCAAACGGG